GGACUUAUAGGGAUGCCCUGAGGAUGCAUGGGGUGCCAUAGGAACCCAUAGAAUCACAGAACCCCAGCACGGCCUGGGUUGCACAGGAGCACAGCGCUCACCUGGUUGCAACCCCUGCUGUGUGCAGGUCGCCAACCAGCAGCCCAGGCUGCCCAGAGAACCCACAGGGUGCCAUAAGGAUCCAUAGUGAGCCACAGUGAUCCAUAGGGUGCCAUAGGGAUUGAUAGGGUGCCAUAGGGAUCCACAGGGUGCCAUAAGGAUCCAUAGUGAGCCACAGUGAUCCAUAGGGUGCCAUAGAGAUUGAUAGGGUGCCAUAGGGAUCCACAGGAUGCCAUAGGGAUUGAUAGAGUGCCAUAGGGAUCCACAGGGUGCCAUAAGGAUCCAUAGUGAGCCACAGUGAUCCAUAGGGUGCCAUAGAGAUUGAUAGGGUGCCAUAGGGAUCCACAG